AAUUAGUAUUCACCAGUGAACAUGACAGGAUCUCUUGAGAGCCAUAUGGAAGGAAUUGAUGUUCAAAAUGGCCUUCUUGUGGCCUCAAGAUGUCUUGUUUUGUUUCCAUUUACUGACUGACCUU
rnacentral:precursor_RNA from 14 species